CCCUUAGAUGUUCUGGGCCGCACGCGCGCUACACUGACGCAUUCAACGAGUCUAAAACCUGCUCUGAUAGGGGUGGGUAAUCUUUUGAAUGUGCAUCGUGAUUGGGAUAGAUGAUUGCAAUUUUUCAUCUUCAACGAGGAAUGCCUAGUAAACGCAAGUCAUCAGCUUGCAUUGAUUACGUCCCUGCCCUUUGUACACACCGCCCGUCGCUCCUACCGAUUGAAUGAUCCGAUGGAUAUCAUGGAUUGAGGAUGCAAGUAGGUUCGCCUAUCUUCAUCUUCGAGAAGUGAAGUAAAUCUUAUCAUUUAGAGGAAGGAGAAGUCGUAACA
rnacentral:rRNA from 1 species